GCAAGUCGAACGAGCAGCCGGAUUCUUCGUAAACCGGUGGGCUAGUGGCCGACGGGUGAGUAACACGUUGGUGACCUUCCCCGAAGCGGGGGACAACCACUGGAAACGGUGGCUAAUACCGCGUGUGCUUAAUCAUUCGUUUGGUUAAGUAAAACUCAGGUGCUUCGGGAGGGGCCUGCGGUCGAUUAGUUAGUUGGUGAGGUAAUGGCUCACCAAGACGAUGAUCGAUAGGGGGCGUGAGAGCGUGACC
rnacentral:rRNA from 1 species